rnacentral:rRNA from 1 species
GAAAGCGAUGCUAAUACCGGAUAACAUCUUUUAUACUACGGUAUAUUUGAUCAAAGGUGGCCUCUACAUGUAAGCUUCUGUUUGAGGAUGAGCCCGCGUACCAUUAGCUUGUUGGUAGGGUAACGGCCUACCAAGGCUGCGAUGGUUAGCUGGUCUGAGAGGAUGAUCAGCCACACUGGAACUGACACACGGUCCAGACUCCUACGGGAGGCAGCAGUGAGGAAUUUUGCGCAAUGGGGGAAACCCUGACGCAGCAACGCCGCGUGAGUGAUGAAGGCUUUCGGGUCGUAAAGCUCUGUCAAGUGGGAAGAACCCAUAUGGUGUUAAUACCACCAUAUGUUGACGGUACCACUGAAGGAAGCACCGGCUAACUCCGUGCCAGCAGCCGCGGUAAUACGGGGGGUGCAAAGCGUUAUUCGGAAUUACUGGGCGUAAAGAGCGCGUANGCGGUCUCUUAAGUCGGAUGUGAAAGCCCGGGGCUUUAACCCCGGAAGUGCAUUC